UCGCGUCUGAUUAGCUAGUUGGUGAGGUAACGGCUCACCAAGGCGACGAUCAGUAGCCGGUCUGAGAGGAUGAACGGCCACAUUGGGACUGAGAUACGGCCCAGACUCCUACGGGAGGCAGCAGUGGGGAAUAUUGGGCAAUGGGGGAAACCCUGACCCAGCAACGCCGCGUGAAGGAAGAAGGCCUUCGGGUUGUAAACUUCUUUUACCAGGGACGAAGAACGUGACGGUACCUGGAGAAAAAGCAACGGCUAACUACGUGCCAGCAGCCGCGGUAAUACGUAGGUUGCAAGCGUUGUCCGGAUUUACUGGGUGUAAAGGGCGUGUAGGCGGAGAUGCAAGUUGGGAGUGAAAUCCCGGGGCUCAACCCCGGAACUGCUUUCAAAACUGCAUCCCUUGAGUAUCGGAGAGGCAAGCGGAAUUCCUAGUGUAGCGGUGAAAUGCGUAGAUAUUAGGAGGAACACCAGUGGCGAAGGCGGCUUGCUGGACGACAACUGACGCUGAGGCGCGAAAGCGUGGGGAGCAACAGGAUUAGAUACCCUGGUAGUCCACGCUGUAAACGAUGAAUACUAGGUGUGGGAGGACUGACCCCUUCCGUGCCGCAGUUAACACAAUAAGUAUUCCACCUGGGGAGUACGACCGCAAGGUUGAAACUCAAAGGAAUUGACGGGGGCCCGCACAAGCAGUGGAUUAUGUGGUUUAAUUCGACGCAACGCGAAGAACCUUACCAGGACUUGACAUCCAACUAACGAAGUAGAGAUACAUUAGGUGCCCUUCGGGGAAAGUUGAGACAGGUGGUGCAUGGUUGUCGUCAGCUCGUGUCGUGAGAUGUUGGGUUAAGUCCCGCAACGAGCGCAACCCCUAUUGUUAGUUGCUACGCAAGAGCACUCUAGCGAGACUGCCGUUGACAAAACGGAGGAAGGCGGGGACGACGUCAAAUCAUCAUGCCCCUUAUGUCCUGGGCUACACACGUAAUACAAUGGCCGUCAACGGAGGGAAGCAAAGCCGCGAGGCAGAGCAAAUCCCCAAAAACGGUCUCAGUUCGGACUGCAGGCUGCAACUCGCCUGCAUGAAGCUGGAAUUGCUAGUAAUCGCGGAUCAGCAUGCCGCGGUGAAUACGUUCNCCGGGCCUUGUACACACCGCCCGUC
rnacentral:rRNA from 1 species